AUUGUGUCUAUUAUAUGUCUUUAUGUAUGACAAUGUUUGUAUUUCAGUGUUAUCUUUUUUGUGCUGGUGAGCCGAAGACAAUUUUCCACCUCGGUGGACAAUAAAGAAUUAUUCUAUUCUGUUCUUUUUUGCUAAAAAUAAUUGCUUCCCAGGAAUUCUGCA